AUUGAACGCUGGCGGCAGGCCUAACACAUGCAAGUCGAACGGUAACAGGAAGCAUCUUGCUGCUUUGCUGACGAGUGGCGGACGGGUGAGUAAUGUCUGGGAAACUGCCCGAUGGAGGGGGAUAACUACUGGAAACGGUAGCUAAUACCGCAUAACGUCGCAAGACCAAAGAGGGGUGCCUUAGGGCCUCUUGCCAUCGGAUGUGCCCAGGUGGGAUUAGCGAGUAGGUGGGGUAACGGCUCACCGAGGCGACGAUCCCUAGCUGGUCUGAGAGGAUGACCAGCCACACUGGAACUGAGACACGGUCCAGACUCCUACGGGAGGCAGCAGUGGGGAAUAUUGCACAACGGGCGAAAGCCUGAUGCAGCCAUGCCGCGUGUAUGAAGAAGGCCUUCGGGUUGUAAAGUACUUUCAGCGGGGAGGAAGGGAGUAAAGUUAAUACCUUGGCUCAUUGACGUUACCCGCAGAAGAAGCACCGGCUAACUCCGUG
rnacentral:rRNA from 1 species